AUACUUCUCUGGAUCCCAGUUCAGCAAAGCGACAAACUAUUCUUAAAGGUACAAAGAACACUUGCGUAAUUCAUUUGCCACAAGUGAAGUCCCUCCUUGUAUUGUGAGCUAGCAGACAACAACUGUAUGAGAUCCGUGGUGGGCACCUGAGGCGUGUGAACAAGAAGGGACAAAGCAGUCAGCAUGUGCUAUUUCAUUAACUCUUAGUGUUUCCACUGAAUGUCAAAUGCCAGAUUUCACUUUGACAACCAAAAUAAAAAGAGCAAUUUUUACUCUGAAAAGUAAUUGAAUGUUCCUGGUCGCAGAUACUAGCAACUUCCAACACAACCUCUGGGGAUAAUUUGCAGUUUCUGAACUGUGCUUUAGAGAAACAUAUCUUUGCCUGCUGAUUGGAACAUCAAUACAUCAGUGAAUUAUGUUAAUAGAAUAGUUUAAAGAUUUAAGCGUGGACUCAGUCUGAACAGUCUGAGCAGGAUUUAUUCCUAUUCCAUCAUUGGUAGCAAUUGCACUUGUUGCGGUAGGAACCUUUAAUUCACACGCUGCAAGCUUUAAGUCUGCUGUAGAAGGUGUACUUUCAGGAACACUGAGAACUCUGAACAGCAGCUGUGGGUUUGACAUCAGCAUGACUUUAAAAGAAACCUUUGACAUGGGGCAUCUGCCCUGGACAGACAGGCCACCUAGCCAAGUUGAGCCGCCCACCUUGACUAAGUUUCCAUAUGAGGAAAACGGACAGAUGGAGUGAAAAAGUAGCAGCAUGGAGACUGUUUAGGAAGCUACCACAACCACCAAACAGUGAUGACAACAAAGGUGGAGAGAAUACAAAGAUGUAGUAGAGAUCUAACUAGCAAUGGCUUGGGAGGACGCUGAGAAGAGUCAGACCAAGGAAGAAUUCUAUGUCUUAGUAACGAACAGAAGGUACAGACUUUGAGAUGAAGAAGAAACAUGCUUUAUUCUUGUCUUUCUUAGUAAAGCCUCAUCAGGAAUCAAGAGCUCUCUCUACACAUGUUAAUCCUGAGACAUCUAAGUGGAAAACAGGUAGCUGAAUAUACAAGUAUGGAGCUCAACAGAGAUGUCAGGAACAAAGGGAUCACUGUGGAGUCGUUUUUUAUAAGACUGCCUGACCAAGGAAUGUAUGGAUGGAAGAAAAAGGGGCUUAAGUUUCAUUCAUGGGGCACCCCAUCAUUUAUUGUGGGUAAGCAGGGGAGAAAAAGGCUAGACAAAAUCUGGAGCAGGAACAUCACAGAAGCCAAAGGAAAGAAGUGCUUUCACAAGAAGACCAUAAUGAAUGCUCUGAAUGGUUGAGGAGGGUGAAGACAGAGAGGUGAUUACUUAGAGCCAUGAGACUCUAGGCAACUGUCACAAAAACAGUGUAAGUGGAGUAGAAGGCAUAAAACCCCAAGACAGAGGAGUCUGAAACUUCACGGAGAGCACUGAGAAUGGGAAACAUAGUACAGAGAGAAUAUGGAUAACUCCUUCCAUCAGUUUUGCUGGGAACGGGAUUAAGAAAUGAGCAGGGAAGCUUAUUUAACUGCUGAACAUCACAAGAUAUAUGCAGAUACAUGCAGAUGAAAAACAGUUCUAAAUUUCAAUUCAAACAACUUCUUUUACCUGCAGUGCUAAGAAGCUAACGCAGGGCCUGGCGCAUGCUAAUCUCGCAUUUGAAUAAUAUUUGAUUUUCUGAGUGCAGAGAUUUAUAUACAAUAAAAAGAAUUUGCUUUUAA